CAGUAGCCGCGGUAACACGGAGGGUGCAAGCGUUAAUCGGAAUUACUGGGCGUAAAGCGCACGCAGGCGGUCUGUCAAGUCAGAUGUGAAAUCCCCGGGCUUAACCUGGGAACUGCAUUUGAAACUGGCAGGCUAGAGUCUUGUAGAGGGGGGUAGAAUUCCAGGUGUAGCGGUGAAAUGCGUAGAGAUCUGGAGGAAUACCGGUGGCGAAGGCGGCCCCCUGGACAAAGACUGACGCUCAGGUGCGAAAGCGUGGGGAGCAAACAGGAUUAGAUACCCGCGUAGUCCCUGUCUCUUAUAC
rnacentral:rRNA from 1 species